rnacentral:lncRNA from 1 species
GUAUUCAAGUAGUACACUGAUGCAUCGAGGGCGUUUGAUAAUAUGCCUAAAACAACUAAUAAUUUUUUUUCUUUUCUCUUGUGACAGGUAUUCUACCACGUACUCAUAUAUCUAUAUCAUUCUGCAAUCUGAAGGCCGCUUCUCUACUGUAAUUUGAGCUAACAAUCUGAAAAUUAGGUUAUGAAUUGAAUCUCUUUUGGAUGCUAAAACUUACUAUCAUUAUUUGCUUGUUGCGUUUACAGCUGUCAGUGUCUUAUUUUCCUUGGGAUUAUUCUGAAAUUUCGUAACUAACACAAGUGUCGAUGGUUUAUAUGGAUAGGAAAAACCGACGAGCCUUUAUUAGGGACAGAGAAUUCUUUUACCACGUCAUGGGAAUAUGUAUAUUUUCUUGAAAAGGUACAUUUUCUCAUAAGAGGCACAAGUUUGAUCCUUUAUCGUUUUAUAUUUUUUGGAGCAUAACGGUCUGAUGCUGUUAUAACUUUUAUUUCAUGCUAUUUGAAAAGUCUUCUUUGCUUGCAACUAAAUAAUUCUUACAUCGCAACAAAGCAUUACUGGUGGAACUUGGAAGCGAACUACAGGGAUUUUUUCCAGUUAACUUUUUUUUUGAUGACUAUCCUUCUUGGUGCAUAACCUUAGUAGAAUCAUGUUUACUAUUAUGACCAUGUCAAGAUAGAGGGUACUUAAUGUUGGAAAUAGGAGACUAUAUAUAUAUAUUAUUUGUGGAAGAGAGGAUUGAUGAUUUAGAAGCUUGAUUGAUCUUGA